rnacentral:rRNA from 1 species
AACGUAGGACGCAAACGUUAUCCGGAAUUACUGGGCUUAAAGGGUGCGUAGGCGGCGCGGAAAGUUGGGUGUGAAAUCCCUCGGCUCAACCGAGGAACUGCGCCCAAUACUACCGUGCUUGAGGGAGAUAGAGGUGAGCGGAACUUAGGGUGGAGCGGUGAAAUGCGUUGAUAUCCUAAGGAACACCGGUGGCGAAAGCGGCUCACUGGAUCUCUUCUGACGCUGAGGCACGAAAGCUAGGGUAGCGAACGGG